UGGGGAAUUUUGGACAAUGGGGGCAACCCUGAUCCAGCCAUGCCGCGUGCGGGAAGAAGGCCUUCGGGUUGUAAACCGCUUUUAGCUGGGAAGAAAAGGUUAGGGCGAAUAGCCCUGAUUUUUGACGGUACCGGCGGAAUAAGCACCGGCUAACUACGUGCCAGCAGCCGCGGUAAUACGUAGGGUGCGAGCGUUAAUCGGAAUUACUGGGCGUAAAGCGUGCGCAGGCGGUUCGUUGUGUCUGUGGUGAAAGCCCCGGGCUUAACCUGGGAAUGGCCAUGGAAACUGGCGAGCUGGAGUCUGGCAGAGGGGGGUGGAAUUCCGCGUGUAGCAGUGAAAUGCGUAGAGAUGCGGAGGAACACCGAUGGCGAAGGCAGCCCCCUGGGCUAAGACUGACGCUCAGGCACGAAAGCGUGGGGAGCAAACAG
rnacentral:rRNA from 1 species